rnacentral:rRNA from 1 species
GCUUACGGCCACACCUCCCUGAGCACGCCCGAUCUCGUCUGAUCUCGGAAGCUAAGCAGGGUCGGGCCCGGUUAGUACUUGGAUGGGAGACCGACUGGAAUACCAGUGCGUGUAAGCC